GCCGAGAUGGCGGAACAGGCAGACGCGCUAGCUUCAGGAGCUAGUGGGGGCAACCCCGUGGGGGUUCAACUCCCCCUCUCGGCA
rnacentral:tRNA from 3 species